GCGGUGCCCGCAGCCCCGAAGUCCGGUGUGGUGCUGCUGCUGCCAGCAACCUGCGAGCCUCGGCGGGUCUGCGGGGCGUACCCGCCCGCCGGGCAGCGGGAGGGGGUGGCUGGCACGGUACUGACCCGGGUCGGCCCGAGGGGCAGCGCGGGGCCGAGACCCUCGACAGGUCCGAGGCAGCGAUGCAGAACUGCCUGAGUCACCCGGCGGAGCCACGGCCAGCGGGUCCUGCCUGUCCUCGCUGUUCCGUGAGACGUUCCCUCCCCAGGACUGGCAGCCUGAGCAGCUCAGCCCCAUCCCCAGCACCCACGGCCUCCUGUCAGCAGCGCCGGAUAAUAAUCCGUUUCUUCUUGCUUGCAUCUCUUCAAAUACCUCUCCCGAGCCCUUACGUUGAGCAUCAACGCUUUAAUUAACGCUCUCUGCUAGGCAGUGCUGAACCCCCCAAAGUCAGUGCUGAAACAAGUGUGCUGAGUGACUCCUAAGGGACCGCCAGAGAAGAUGGCUAAAGCAAAGAGUCACUCAUGUGCUGGUGUAUGGGACCAAAUAUCUGCUGGUUUUGGGUGCUCUUGGAAGAACUGGAGCUUGGUUGAUUCAGAGAAGAUAAGGAGUGGAAACAGUCCUGGCAAUCUGUGAUUAAAUUACUAUUAAAAUAU